rnacentral:misc_RNA from 1 species
ACCCCUAUUUGCCCGCGAUAAUCGUCGGAAAAUACAUUCGAACGACAAUCUGUGCCGCACGAGCGCAAGCUUCGUGCUGCUCGAUGUCCGUGAGGAAUGC